rnacentral:tRNA from 1 species
AGGGGUGUAGCUUAGUGGUCUGGCCCUAGGUUUGCUCCCUAGAGGUCACCAGUUCGAGUCUCACAACCCUC